rnacentral:lncRNA from 1 species
AUUGGCUGACAGUGGUGAGAGAAUACCAAUGUCCAGUUUCCAGUGAGUCCUGUGUGUUCCUUUUCUGGUUUCUGCCAUUGCAGAGAGCAGAGGAUCAGCUACAGGUAUUUCAGACCCGCUGAGUUGAUGCCAAGGAGUGAACAGCGCACUGGUCUUAUCUUCAUGAUUCCUGGGAAGACCUGCUCUCAGCAUACCAGCUGCUCCAUUGUCUGGGAGCAGUGGUCAACAGCUACUUAUGGGGAUUGAAGACGGGUAUGGAAUUUCCAGGACUGGAAUUUGCAGUUUGCAAGCCAGUAUAGAGUUGUUUUGUUCACGUCUGUAAUGGAUUAAAAGAUUUCAACUGUAU